UACGUAGGGUGCAAGCGUUAAUCGGAAUUACUGGGCGUAAAGCGCGCGCAGGCGGCUUUGCAAGACAGAUGUGAAAUCCCCGGGCUCAACCUGGGAACUGCAUUUGUGACUGCAUCGCUGGAGUGUGGCAGAGGGGGAUGGAAUUCCGCGUGUAGCAGUGAAAUGCGUAGAUAUGCGGAGGAACACCAGUGGCGAAGGCGACUACCUGGACUGUUCUUGACGCUGAGGCGCGAAAGCUAGGGGAGCAAACGGG
rnacentral:rRNA from 1 species